CAUGGGGAGGAUGCUCGGGUGAGGAUGCUGUGGGUACUAGCCCAUGGGGAAGAUGCUCAGGUGAGGAUGCUGUGGGUACCAGCCCAUGGGGAGGAUGCUCGGGUGAGGAUGCUGUGGGUACCAGCCCAUGGGGAGGAUGCUCGGGUGAGGAUGCUGUGGGUACCAGCCCGUGGGGAGGAUGCUGUGGUGAGGAACCUCUCAAGUACCAGCUCAUGGAAGAGACUCUUAGGCAAGGAACCCUCCCAGGUACUAGCUCACAGGCGAGGAUGCUUGGAUGAGGAAUCCCUGAGUACCAGUCCACAGUGGAGGAUGCUUUGAAUGAGGAACCAUUGGGUACCAGCCCAUAGGGAAGGAUGCUCAGAUGAGGAACCACUGGGUACCAACCCACAGAGGAGGAUGCUCAGGAGCAUCCGAGCAAUGGGCAGAGUUAAGGGUAUCUGGAAAAGGGCUGGAGCUGUGCUCCAGGAUCCAGCCUGGACUUCUCUGGGAUGCAUCUGUCGGGGCUGGGAGUUGGAAGCCAAGCUCCUUUCCACCCACCCGCCACUGAGGUCCCAUCGGCACAGCGUCGGACGUGGCGCAGCCGGUGACGCCAGGUCCUGGUGCCGGGCUGGAUCCCGGGCUCGCUGCUGCAAGGGGAUGGCAGGAAGGAGGGGAUUUAAGGAGCAAACCCACUUGGGGAAGGCAAAAAGGGGGAGAGAGGCCUUUUCUGCAAGGGCUGGGACAUAAAGGGCUGCCAGCGCUGCCAUGGCAACGGGCGGAUUAUGAUCCAAAUGGAAAUCAAAAUAAGGGGGGGGGGGGGGGAGAAGAGUGGAGUAAAGGAGGAGGGGAGGAAAAACAACUUUUAUUUCCAGUCGGAGAGCGGUUGUGCCUUGGAGGGGUUGCCAUAGGAACGGCGAAGAAAAGGAGCCAGGAAAGUGUGUGCGGGUGGGCGAGUGUGCAAGGGAGUGUGCAAGGAGCACAUGGGGUGCAAUGGGGCGCAGGAGCAUCACCGGGAGCUGCGGGGGGCAGCGGGGUGAUGCAGAGGAGCAGGAGGAAGGCUGCAACGCCAGCGCAUGGGGAUGCCCCGUGAGCCCCAUCCCAUGGGAGCUGUGGGAUGGGGGCACCCAGGCUGCCCCUUGCCCAGGUUGAUGCUGAGUCUGUCCUCAUGGGUACCGGUGCUGGGGAUGGGAACAGCCCAGUGCUGAGGGUAAAGCGAGGCUGGUGCCCAGCUCCCGUCGCUGCCCUGGGCAGAAUGGGCCCCUCUGAACCCUGUACAGGGGUGGGGGGUCUCCAGCUGCAUUCUCACUUGCUCCCUCCAUGCCCUUUUAGCUCUUUUAUGACCCCCCCUCAGUCUCUCAAGUGUGUUUGAUAUAAAAUCAUAGUUGAUAUAAACCCAUAGCUGAUAUAAACCCAUAGUUGAUACAAACCCAUAGUUCUAACCCUUUGGGAAAGGAUUUUCCAUCCCACACCACCACCAGCCUUGGUUCAGGGCACACAGAGCCCCAUUGC